rnacentral:misc_RNA from 1 species
GCAAACUUGGUCAUUUAGAGGAAGUAAAAGUCGUAACAAGGUUUCCGUAGGUGAACCUGCGGAAGGAUCAUUAUUGAAACAUUGUAAAGAAGAGUUGAGCUGGUCCUUCAAGGGCAAGUGCUCGCUUUUCUUUCAAUCUUCAUCCACCUGUGCACUUUUUGUAGAGAGUCUGAAAAUCGAGCCUUUUAAGUAAGGUUCCAAGUGUUUGGGCUCUCUAUGUCUUUAUAUACACCAAUUGUAUGUUUCUGAAUGUCUUUUUAAGGGACUUUAUUGGACCUUUUAAAAACUAUACAACUUUCAGCAACGGAUCUCUUGGCUCUCGCAUCGAUGAAGAACGCAGC